CCCCUCCAGGAGGUCGCAGGUCUGCAUGAGAGAAAGAAGCCACGCCCCCUCAUAUCCCCCUCCCAGAGGACGCAGGUCUGCUUGAGAGAAAGAAGCUAGAGCAGGGAGAGAGAGAGGACAUACACAGCUCCUCAUCUCCCCUCCCCCUGCUCUGUCUUCUGAGGACGCAGGUCUGCACUGAAAGAAGACAGAGAAGAUAAGAGUGUUACCUGAAGGAGGAGAUAACAAGUAAAGAUUUUAACAUCAGGAUCCACAAGCCAUAUUCUACUGAUAUGAGGGAAGUGUUUAAGAAUGACAGAAAUCCCACCUCCUAUAAUUUUACUACAAAGGAAAUGAUAAUGAAGAAUGAGACGUCCAUGAACUAUUUUUACAUUUUACCAUUUUCUGGACAGACAAGGAAUAAACCGUUCAUUACCACAUUGUUUUUCUUGAUAUAUUUGGUCGGAGUUCUUGUAAAUUCUUCCGUUAUCGCCGCCAUAUGUCUGGAUGAUCAGUUAC